GUAUCUUUUAUCAUCUGAUUGAUUUAACUUGGCAGGAGGAUCGAAUGCCCUCUUUAUUUUUUUUUUUUGAAAAGUGAAUGCCCUCUUUAUUAAGAGGCAACGAAAAUAUAUCGUAGUUGAUGGCGUAUCCAUAUUACGCUACGAAGGGCCUGCCAAACAAACAAGUGCUAACCCGCAGCGCUACGAAGGAACCUGCGUGGGAAAGGCGCCCAGCUGGAAAUAAUACCCAAAUAAAGAAGAGAUUACUUAAAUCUCUUCUUCCCUAAAAUAAGGACGAUCGGUUCCAACUAAUUUGGGAAGUUAAAUCUAUUCCUUUAAUCAUGGGAAAACCUAUCUACAAAGAAGUUUUCCACCCUAUGGACUCUCCUUCCUAUAUAAGGGGAGACGAGACGAGAGGGAUAUGACACUCCGGCUUUGAUUGGCGUAAAGAGGCUUACACUCUACCUUCAGAGAACCGCCAAUAAUCAAAGCCACAAACCUCCCCCCAUCAAUCCCUAGCGCGAUCCGGUGCACAAACAGUAGUGGCAACAUGUCUUAAAUGAUGGUGCAACUGUUUCCAUAAAGGCCUUUUCUACCGCACCUAAUGGAUCACAAAGGAAUCACAAGUAUCAACCGACUUCCCACCCGUAUAAGAUUAUGUUCACUCCCAACACCAUAGUCAGCCCUAUUCUAGACUAUACUUGAUCCAAAGGGAUUGCCACUUCUGCCUACCUCAGCAAUACCUUCAAUGGUGGUGGCUAACAACCACCGUUCUGCUAAAUCAGGGUUGUUCUGGUAGGCAUUAGAGUAAUAACCUAACCUUCAUAUGCAUUAAAGAUAGCCAUUUGACCCAUUUGCAAUAAGCUUUUAAACCAAAUCGUCGCAUUCAUAAGUAUAUGACUUGAAAUUUCAACCUCUGUUGAUAAUGGGUUCUUAUUGUCGUGUAUAUCAUAUUUGUAGGUUCGAUGUCUACAAGCGUCUCUUCCACCUCAAGUGGUGGCAUAAGUGAAGUCGUAAACACUAGUCAGGGAGUCUGAAGAGUUGGCUCAUGUUGAAGCUGAAUCGGGUGACGAUGAUAUGACGAAAAAGAAUAAGCUAUCUAUGACUCAAUUUUUCUUUCUUAUUUUCUAAAGGUACUCCAAGUUGGUGAGUGAGAAGGUGUCAAUGGAUUUACUACUAUGGUUAUUGCUCGGAUCUCUCUGUUAGUUUAUCUUAUCCAGGAUUCCGGGAGAUGUUUUUAUGGGUGACCCAUGGUGUUUGAGUAUGGUGAAUCACGAGUUUGAUUUUCUAAAGCAAGUGAAAAGAAACUUUUCUCACUUUUCAUGACUUUUUUCCCCAGUAUAUAUCCUAUCGGGAAAGUGUUUGAGUAAUGUCUCAUGCGUUUUCAGCAAUACUAUUACAAUUAAUAUUAGUUCUAUUUUAUAUA